rnacentral:rRNA from 1 species
UACGGGGGGGGCAAGCGUUGUUCGGAAUUACUGGGCGUAAAGGGUUUGUAGGUGGCUUGCUAAGUCAGACGUGAAAUCCCUCAGCUUAACUGGGGAACUGCGUCUGAUACUGGUGAGCUUGAGUGCAGGAGAGGAACGCGGAAUUCCAGGUGUAGCGGUGAAAUGCGUAGAUAUCUGGAGGAAUACCGGUGGCGAAGGCGGCAUCCUGGACCGGCAUUGACGCUGAGGAGCGAAAGCCAGGGGAGCAAACGGG